UACGCCGGAAGUAUUUUUCUUGGCCGCCGGAUGGAAACUGCUGGGGAGUGGAGGGGAGCUAAGCUGAGCGCUGGAAAUAGCCGUUGUGCUUCUCCACGUUAUCGCCUGCCAAACUUUGGUGCUAUUCGCCCUAGUGGCCUAAGAAAGUGCUUAGAAGAUCGGUGUAGAUGUGCUCACUCUUCUAGGAGAAAAGAUUUUUUUAAGCUCCCUCACAAGACUGGAGUCCACAGUUAGCAUUAAGCUCAGCCAACUUUUUAUUGAGCAGCUACAGCGUGUCAGGCUUCUGCCAAGUCCCUUUUGCCAGAGUUUUUCCUGCUUGUAAUGGCCUUUGGUGGGCAGUCAUCUGAAAUGUAACUGAAACAGACGUACUUGAAAAAUAAAAAGCAACUAACAUGUUAAGAUGCAAUACACUGGGGCCGGCCCAGUGGCGCAGUGGUUAAGUGUGCAGAUUGUGCUUCUGGGCGGCCUGGGGUUCCCCGGUUCAGAUCCUGGGUGUGGACAUGGCACCGCUUGGCAAAAGCCAUGCUGUGGUAGGCAUCCCAUGUAUAAAGUAGAGGAAGAUAGGCAUGGAUGUUAGCUCAGGGCCAGUCUUCCUCAGCAAAAAGAGGAGGAUUGGCAGUAGUUAGCUCAGGGCUAAUCUUCCCCCACCCCCAAAAAAACAUGCAAUACACAUACCAUGCAGCAAGAGAUCCUAGCACAUAAAAAGAAUAUCUAUGAAUGAAUGGAGAAAGACUUGAAGCAGGGAGCAGUGUUGAUGGCUGUUACAAGUUUUUAAGUUUUUCUAGGCCUCCCAAGCUUGCGAUGUGGAAUAAAAUCAUUGAAGUUCUUGCCUUAUGGAGCUUGCAUUCUAGUGAGGAGAAAUAGACAAUGAAAUAAAUGAGAUAUUUUAAAACAAUGCUAGGAUGACAAAUAAUGGAGGACAGGAGAAGAAGGAGUUGGGAAGGAAAAGUGCAAGGAUUCAGGAAGGAGGUGAUGAAAACCUGAACUAGGGCAGCAGAUGAGAUAAAUUAAUUGAAAAAUAUUGUUCAAACAUCCCAGUUUGUUUUCAUACAUCUUUUCAAGAAACU
rnacentral:lncRNA from 1 species